CACUUCUCCAAUUUGGGAAAUGAGCCCACCUGGGGCUGAGGGGCCUGUGUCAUCUUGACUCUGGGGAGGCGAAAGUGAGUCUGUCUUGAGCAUCUCUGGCACCGUGAUGGCAGCCGAGGAAAUGGACAUCCAGAGAAAUGUCUCCCCGAGGUCCCUCAGCUGGAGCUUGCUGGGUCUGUAAUUCCAACCAGGUCUUGCCAGUUCCAAAGCCUGCUCUUUCCACUCUGCCUUGGGGCAGCAUCCAGGACAAACUCCCUAAUGGAAGCUCCUGGCAAUAGAGGAAAGCUCUGUUUUAACACUAGCUGCAUAUAAGCUUAAGGAACAGAAGCCUCAGAGUCUAAAUUCUACUGAUAACACAUCACUAAAAUAAAAAAUGUCCAGUUUCAACAAAAGGUCAC